UACAGAGGUCCCAAGCGUUGUUCGGAUUCAUUGGGCGUAAAGGGUGCGUAGGUGGCGUCGUAAGUCGGGCGUGAAAUUUCGGAGCUCAACUCCGAAACUGCAUUCGAUACUGCGGUGCUUGAGGACUGGAGAGGAGACUGGAAUUUACGGUGUAGCAGUGAAAUGCGUAGAGAUCGUAAGGAAGACCAGUGGCGAAGGCGGCUCACUGGCCCGGUACUGACGCUGAGGCGCGAAAGCGUGGGGAGCAAACAGG
rnacentral:rRNA from 1 species